rnacentral:tRNA from 1 species
GCCCCUUUAACUCAACGGUAGAGUAAGCCCAUGGUAAGGCGUAAGUCGUUGGUUCCAAUCCGAUAGGGGACU